rnacentral:tRNA from 1 species
GGGGUUGUGGCUCAGAGGUAGAGCCCUUGCCUAGCAAGUGGGAGGCACUAGGUUCGAUCCUCAGCACCA